GUGGCAAUCACUCGCUGAUUGGCCUCUCCCCAUACCACGUGCAGAGGUUCUGUAGUUGGAGAAGGAAGUAGAGAAUUGUUAGAGAAGUUAGAUUAAUCGCUAGUCACAAUAUUAUCAAAAUGCCUGAGGUACAGAGAUACAGGAAUGGGGAAGAUGAAAAGUUUUGUAAAUUGUUUAUUGGUGGUCUAAACUACAGCACAACUGAAGAAGGCUUAAAGAGCCAUUUUGAACAAUGGGGUGAAAUAGUUGACUGUGUUGUAAUGAGAGAUCUAACCACUAAAAGGUCCAGAGGGUUUGGCUUUGUCACUUAUAAAACUGAAGAUAUGUUGGAUGAAGCACAAAAGCACCGUCCCCACAAAGUAGAUAACAGAGAGGUUGACACCAAAAGGGCUAUUCCUCGUAGUGAAGCUGAUGAAUCUCAAGCUGCUGUGAAGAAAAUGUUUGUUGGUGGCCUGAAGGAAGGUACCACUGAAGAUGAAAUCAAAGAGCGAUUUGAAAAUUAUGGUACAAUUGAAAAAAUAGAGUUAAUUAAAGACAAAGCUACUGGAAAGCAGAGAGGAUUUUGUUUUGUCACUUACAAUGAUCCUGAUGCAGUUGAUAAAUGUGUUUUGAGAAAACGCAUUCAGUUAAAUGGAAAAGUGGUUGAAGUGAAAAAAGCUGUAUCAAAAACUGAAAUAGAGAGAGCUGGUCGAGGUGGUAUGCGUGGAGGUUCUGAUUAUGGUAUGCGUGAUAAUUUUGAUGAUAACUAUGGUGGUGGUGGUAACUGGAACAUGGGUGGUGAAAACAACUGGGGUAACUCAGGUGGUUAUCCAAACCAAGGUGGUGGCUGGAACCAAGGUGGUCAAGGUGGCUGGAACCAAGGAUUUGGUCAAGGCAACAACACUGGGUGUUAUGGUGGCAAUUUUAAUCCUCGAGGCAACUUCAAUAAUAAUUUCAGGAGUGGAGAUUAUGAUGGAAACAAUUGGAAUAACCCCCCCAAUUUUGGAACUGGCUAUGGAGGGAGUGGCAAUGCUGGCCCAAUGCGUGGUGGCAACUACUCUCAGCGAUCAAGUGGACCUUAUGGAGGAAAAUAAUAAGAAAUGAGUGGAAGUUUUACCGGUGGCUAUGGAGUUGGUGGUGGUGGUGGUGGUAUGGGUUAUAACAGACGGUAACUUCAUUAUUUCCUAUCAUUAUAACUUAGGUAUGGUUAAAUGUGGAACUGAUUCAUCAAAGCAUCUUCUCUAUCAAAAUGCUGACCAACUGGAGUACUUACUCUUGACCUGCUGAUUUAUUUGUUCUUUUUUUUUUUUUUUUUUUUCUACAUGAUUCAGAGAACCCCCAAGUUACACCAGACAGCUGCAAAAUAUACCAUCCUAAUUAAACUAAACCAUAAAAUUGAAAAAGGGAAAAAAAAAAAUAUUCAUAGACUGUUUCUUUUUAUAUUGUAAAUAUCAGUUUCAUAAAAAGAAAAAUUAGGUUGAAGAUUUCAAAAACCUCACAUUUUGUACAAGUCUUAAGAUUGUGCUUACUCUUAUCUUUGCUACAUUGUCAUGGUUGGUAUUCUACUUUUAAGACCAAACUGUUUUUUUUAGAUGGUAUUGCUAAAGACAUUUAUUGUAUGGGUAACAAUAAAAAACAAACAACAAAAGAUAAACAACCAUCUCAUUUCUUACUUCAUAAAUAUCCAUACAAUUCUUUCAACCACUCCUAAUGCUAAUUUGUUUCACCUUCUGCACUUACACAUUCCUGCCAUCCAAAUUCAAUUAGCCUUGAUAAAAAUCAAGGCUGUUAAUAAAAUAAUCUUAUUUCAUGACUUCUCUUCAUUUUAUGUCAAAAGAAAAGGGGGGAAAAAAAAAAAAAGAAAGAAACCCCAGCUAAAUACAUAUAUCUUAAAUAUAGAUUGCUUUAGGAAAUUUUUCUCACUGUCCAGCUUCUAGAUAUAGGAAGUUAAUGGCAUACAAAAUUUGUAAAAAGCUGGAUAUAAAAAAAUUUUAAUUUCUACUUUUCUUUUCUGCAAAUUAUUUAACUAUUUCACAGCUAUUUUAUCACUUUUAUAUUUGAACUAAAAGUUUUAAAUGAAGCUCUUGCAGUGGUAUGAGAUUUUUCAUUUGUCCAAAAAAUUUCUAAACACUUGUAUGAUGAAAGUUGGACUGCAGUUUUUGCGCUGUCCUUUCUUCUUCAGCUUGACAUUUCUCUAAGAUCCAUUUAUUCACAUCUUGUGCCAUAACUUCAUCUUAAUUUCACAUUGGUAUAACUUGAAAAAUUUUCACCCAUUAAAUUGUUUAGUGAUGAACUGUUCAAUUCCAUAACUCAUUUUGAAUUAGUGGAUCUUGCCUUGUGAAAUUCUGUUCAUUAAAUAAUAGAAAUGGUA
rnacentral:misc_RNA from 1 species